AUGUGCUGGGCGUCUGGAAUCUGGGGGCUGGAGGCUGCAGAGGUGAUGUCAUUGGAGCAGAGGAGCUGGAGAAAAACAACUCUCUUUCUUUAUUCAGAUCCUCUUUGCAGUCCCAGCAGGGGAGGGGAGGGUCGGCUUGGCAGGCAGCCGUGGCAGGGGCUGCUGGGAAAUGGUAAAGGAUGCCAAGCAGGCUCUGCAGCCAACAUUAGUGGCUCACAUCUUUGUUCUCUGAAACCUGGUGUGCUGCCAAAAGCCUCAUUUCAGCUCCCCGCCAUGAUUACACUGGAUAUAGGCCAAUUCCUGAGAGCUCGCAAUCCUCUCUGUUGCGCGCGGCCGCUCUCGCUCUCCUUCAAAGACUCGCUGCCAAACAUGCAGCAGUUUCCAUGGCGACGGCGAGCCGAACAUAAAAAUUGCGUCAGAAACCGCUGGAAAUCAGUGUCACACCCAGCCACUUACACCAAUGACAAGAAGCAGAGAGGAAGACGUGUCAGGAUAUGGCUGUUAGCUACGGCCGUCUGCGCCCCACUCGCUCCUCCACUUCAAAGUGUGGAUUUUUUCAAACAGAUUUCUCUCAGAAGUGAGUGACAGAAUGAAAUCGAGUGAGACACUUGAAAGGGAAUGUUCUGGUGUGUACGAAUAAUCUCUCUCUGGGCACUUUCAUCUCCAGCCAUGGCAGUCAUUACCCAUGCUAGUGCUCUGACUAGCGUUAACCCGCUUUAGCAGGGUUAUCAGACAGUGACUUGAGAGCUGUAAUACAUGUCUAGAGUAAAAUGCCAAAUGUGAUCUCAUACAGUCAAACUUUGGACUUUUGGUCCAAACGCUGCGAGGUCAGACGGUGAAAGAUCAGACGCAUGCAACACUUUGAUAAUGCAAUAAGUCACCAAGAUAAUGAUAAUAGUUUAUUGGUUUGCUCGGUCCACUUCAGUGCAUAUUCUUUAAACUAUUUAUUAUUAAUUUAAAUAAUCUUAAAGUUGUACUUAAUCAAAGAGACCGUGUGCAAUAAUAGGUUUUGAUCUACUUGACAUGCAUUGUGGCUAAAAUAUGAUCUUGUUAUUGAGAUUUGAUAUCACAAAAACAGUGUAAUCAUGAUCAGAUUGCUCACAGCUAUCCGUUUACACAUGUGCUGCAAUAAAUCAAACUACUGCUACCA
ensembl:lncRNA